ACGGGCGGCCCCCGCUGGUAUUUGAGGGUGCUCGGGGCUCCUUUUGCGAGCUAGGGGUGCUGGGUUUUGUCCCGGGAUAUGGAGGUGCAGCCGGGUGCUCUGCCCGAGCUGGGUUUUGUCCCGGGCUAUGGAGGUGCAGCCGGGUGCUCUGCCCGAGGCGUCCGCCUGCGAUUGCACCCCGCGUCCGACCCGCGCAGGGCGUCACCGGGCGCCCGUUAAAUGACCAGAUUCCGGUCCACUUUCCGCGCGCGGUUCCAUAGUGUAGCGGUUAUCACGUCUGCUUUACACGCAGAAGGUCCUGGGUUCGAGCCCCAGUGGAACCAGGGCGUGGGCUUUGUCCCUUUUAGGGAAAAAUCACCCAUUCAGGGCGAAAGUUAGCUUUUGCGAGCCAGAGUUCGCCACGUCCAGCUGGAGACGCGCGAGUCGUCCUCUCCGCUGCCUUCGGCGCUCGCAGCCGGCCUGUACCGGCCCGGUUCUCGGGGCGCUCGGGCCUCCCGUGGCUCACGGCUGCCCCCGCGUGGCGGCUCCGCGGAGGUGCACAGCCUUCCCGCGGUGCUCGCUCGCGUCCCCGAUUCCGCGCGGGCCGGCCUGGAAGCCGGAAGUCACGUCCGCGGCCUCGCUUUCCGACAGCUCGAAGUACGUUACGGGCAAGCCAACCCCACGCACAGAGGCCUGGUGAACGGAGAGGAUUCCGGGGAUCUGGAGAGAAACGGACGCCCGGACAGAAGCCUGCAACUCUGAAGGACCGAACAGCGCCGCCUUGAGGCACGAGCGGGAAAUGAACUUCCGUUGUGUCCGCCACCCGUAUUUGACGUUUCUACUGCAGAGGCCGGCACCCUGUGAUCAGCAGGGGAAAGUCCUUAAAGACAGCACUUCGCCAAGCAGUACCCUGCGUUUAACUCACGGAGACACUCAGGAGAACCCCUCCCUCGCCCUGACUCAGGUACACGACCACCUCGCCUCCCCUCGUCAGGGUCUACACCUCCGUCUCGAGUCUGUGCUAAGCAGACAUCUGAGGAGACUUCAGGUCUCCAGGUUCCUGAAGUUCCUAGAACAGUGGGCAGUGGAGGAAGCACAGAGGAGCCUGGUUAAUCCGGGAUGUGGAGAUGUAUUUUAAUCAACGACAGCAGCCUCAGCCUAGGAUAUUUCUUUUGGAUGUUAGAACAACGAGUCUGGUUUUCAAAUCUCUGCUCAGGAAAGCACUGUGACAAGCCCAACAGCUUCCUGGGCCAGCGUCCUUUUCCCCUCCUUCUCUCUGCUUCGCCUUCUCCCU
rnacentral:tRNA from 1 species